rnacentral:rRNA from 1 species
AUUGAACGCUGGCGGCAGGCCUAACACAUGCAAGUCGAACGAGUGGCGGACGGGUGAGUAAUGUCUGGGCAACUGCCCGAUGGAGGGGGAUAACUACUGGAAACUGUUGCUACUACCGCAUACCAUCGGAUGUGCCCAGGUGGGAUUAGCUAGGAGGUGGGGGAACCGCUCACCUAGGCGACGAUCCCUAGCUGGUCUGAGAGGAUGACCAGCCACACUGGAACUGAGAGACGGUCCAGACUCCUACGGGAGGCAGCAGUGGGGAAUAUUGCACAAUGGGCGAAAGCCUGAUCCAGCCAUGCCGCGUGUAUGAAGAAGGUCUUCGGAUUGUAAAGUACUUUAAGCGAGGAGGCGUUACUCGCAGAAGAAGCACCGGCUAACUCCGUGCCAGCCGCCGCGGUAAUUC